UGGCUAUACUGCAGUCGAACGCUUCUUUUUCCCCGGAGCUUGCUCCACCGGAAAAAGAGGAGUGGCGAACGGGUGAGUAACACGUGGGUAACCUGCCCAUCAGAAGGGGAUAACACUUGGAAACAGGUGCUAAUACCGUAUAACAAUCAAAACCGCAUGGUUUUGAUUUGAAAGGCGCUUUCGGGUGUCGCUGAUGGAUGGACCCGCGGUGCAUUAGCUAGUUGGUGAGGUAACGGCUCACCAAGGCCACGAUGCAUAGCCGACCUGAGAGGGUGAUCGGCCACAUUGGGACUGAGACACGGCCCAAACUCCUACGGGAGGCAGCAGUAGGGAAUCUUCGGCAAUGGACGAAAGUCUGACCGAGCAACGCCGCGUGAGUGAAGAAGGUUUUCGGAUCGUAAAACUCUGUUGUUAGAGAAGAACAAGGAUGAGAGUAACUGUUCAUCCCUUGACGGUAUCUAACCAGAAAGCCACGGCUAACUACGUGCCAGCAGCCGCGGUAAUACGUAGGUGGCAAGCGUUGUCCGGAUUUAUUGGGCGUAAAGCGAGCGCAGGCGGUUUCUUAAGUCUGAUGUGAAAGCCCCCGGCUCAACCGGGGAGGGUCAUUGGAAACUGGGAGACUUGAGUGCAGAAGAGGAGAGUGGAAUUCCAUGUGUAGCGGUGAAAUGCGUAGAUAUAUGGAGGAACACCAGUGGCGAAGGCGGCUCUCUGGUCUGUAACUGACGCUGAGGCUCGAAAGCGUGGGGAGCAAACAGGAUUAGAUACCCUGGUAGUCCACGCCGUAAACGAUGAGUGCUAAGUGUUGGAGGGUUUCCGCCCUUCAGUGCUGCAGCUAACGCAUUAAGCACUCCGCCUGGGGAGUACGACCGCAAGGUUGAAACUCAAAGGAAUUGACGGGGGCCCGCACAAGCGGUGGAGCAUGUGGUUUAAUUCGAAGCAACGCGAAGACCUUACCAGUCUUGACAUCCUUUGACCACUCUAGAGAUAGAGCUUCCCCUUC
rnacentral:rRNA from 1 species